rnacentral:rRNA from 1 species
UGGCGGCAGGCCUAACACAUGCAAGUCGAGCGGUAGAGAGAAGCUUGCUUCUCUUGAGAGCGGCGGACGGGUGAGUAAUGCCUAGGAAUCUGCCUGGUAGUGGGGGAUAACGCUCGGAAACGGACGCUAAUACCGCAUACGUCCUACGGGAGAAAGCAGGGGACCUUCGGGCCUUGCGCUAUCAGAUGAGCCUAGGUCGGAUUAGCUAGUUGGUGAGGUAAUGGCUCACCAAGGCGACGAUCCGUAACUGGUCUGAGAGGAUGAUCAGUCACACUGGAACUGAGACACGGUCCAGACUCCUACGGGAGGCAGCAGUGGGGAAUAUUGGACAAUGGGCGAAAGCCUGAUCCAGCCAUGCCGCGUGUGUGAAGAAGGUCUUCGGAUUGUAAAGCACUUUAGGUUGGGAGGAAGGGCAUUAACCUAAUACGUUGGUGUCUUGACGUUACCGACAGAAUAAGCACCGGCUAACUCUGUGCCAGCAGCCGCGGUAAUACAGAGGGUGCAAGCGUUAAUCGGAAUUACUGGGCGUAAAGCGCGCGUAGGUGGUUUGUUAAGUUGGAUGUGAAAUCCCCGGGCUCAACCUGGGAACUGCAUUCAAAACUGACAAGCUAGAGUAAGGUAGAGGGUGGUGGAAUUUCCUGUGUAGCGGUGAAAUGCGUAGAUAUAGGAAGGAACACCAGUGGCGAAGGCGACCACCUGGACUGAUACUGACA